rnacentral:rRNA from 1 species
GCAGCAUGGUCUUAGCUUGCUAAGGCCGAUGGCGACCGGCGCACGGGUGAGUAACACGUAUCCAACCUGCCGUCUACUCUUGGACAGCCUUCUGAAAGGAAGAUUAAUACAAGAUGGCAUCAUGAGUCCGCAUGUUCACGUGAUUAAAGGUAUUCCGGUAGACGAUGGGGAUGCGUUCCAUUAGAUAGUAGGCGGGGUAACGGCCCACCUAGUCUUCGAUGGAUAGGGGUUCUGAGAGGAAGGUCCCCCACAUUGGAACUGAGACACGGUCCAAACUCCUACGGGAGGCAGCAGUGAGGAAUAUUGGUCAAUGGGCGAGAGCCUGAACCAGCCAAGUAGCGUGAAGGAUGACUGCCCUAUGGGUUGUAAACUUCUUUUAUAAAGGAAUAAAGUCGGGUAUGGAUACCCGUUUGCAUGUACUUUAUGAAUAAGGAUCGGCUAACUCCGUGCCAGCAGCCGCGGUAAUACGGAGGAUCCGAGCGUUAUCCGGAUUUAUUGGGUUUAAAGGGAGCGUAGAUGGAUGUUUAAGUCAGUUGUGAAAGUUUGCGGCUCAACCGUAAAAUUGCAGUUGAUACUGGAUAUCUUGAGUGCAGUUGAGGCAGGCGGAAUUCGUGGUGUAGCGGUGAAAUGCUUAGAUAUCACG